CAAGUUUCCCCUUUACUCAGAGCUACAGUACACAGGCUACAUCUGUCCUUAGUGGAUCUGGCUGCCUUUCUUACCUACUUAAAUAUAACUUUCAACUUACUGUGCCGAUAUAUUUGCUUGCAGCAGUACGGGUAUUGGGUUCUCCUUAUCGCUCCUGACAUGGAAAGGAAGAAAUGUAAUCUUAAGUGAAAUGUUCAGACUUCUCGUGAAUAGCCCCAGGAAAGGAAAGAACUGGAUAUGUUUUGGAGAGAUACACUCUCAGCAUGACUGGAAGGAAAAUUAAGAAGUGUCUUGCCAGCUCUUAAACUGUGUAACAGAGAACAAUUACUCUUCAUUGGAUGAUGCUGUAAGAGAAGGCAUGUGGAAACAACAAGUGGUUAUAUCAUGCUGUUGUAUAGUACUAAAUCUGUCUUCAGUCCCUCCCCUUAGCUGUGAAUCAGUUUAAUCUGCCAAAUUAUUAUUGUUCUUAAUACUUCCCAAAGAGUUUUCUAAAUUAAUGGGCCAAGAAGUUACUGUUUUUACGGUGUUUACAUCCUCUUUAUCACGGUACACUUUGAAGUUAGAGAUAGUUUAUGAUUUUUCAUUUAUUUAUUUAUGUAUUUAUGUAUCAAGUGAUUCCACAAAUAAAAACUCACACACACAUAAAAAAAAAUACACAAAAAACAACAAGAAAAAAAAACACAACUUGUACUCUUUCCUUUUUUCACUCAAUAAAAAAUGACAUUUAUUGGACUUACAGAAGGAAAAAAAAAGGGGGAGAAGUGAUACAUUCACAGAGUUGCUCUGUAAAUAAAUAUGCUUCCAUCUAUUACAUAUUUAUAAGAUUUAUUGUUUUUAUCAGGUUUAUUCUUUUUCAAUGUUUUGGGAAGAAAAAAAUACACAAAAACAAUUCACUUGAGAAAUAGAACUGCUAGAGAAAAAUUCUUCACCCUCACAGAAAAAAAAAGGUAUCAGUAGUUAGACUGCUCAAAAUAUUAGCUAUGAAUGUUGCUUUGUUAUAACAUAAUUUUCUUCUUUAAUAAAAUUUAUUUAUUUUUAUAUAUGUCAAUUCUGGAAUGAAUUCCUGCCUAGGACAUUUCACAUACUAAGUUGUAAAAAAUUAAAGUCUUACAUUUAAGUGAUGCAACUGCCUGAGUGGAAAGCGUUGUGGAUUGUAUAUGGGGCUGAGAGCCAUAAAAUCUUGGACUCUGGACCCUUUUUUGAUGCUGAGCAGCCUAUAUAAUUUUUUGUACUUACACAAUGCUCAGCAAACAUUAUUAAUUUAAGCUUCACACAGUCACUGUGCAGUACAGAGGUGUAAUUAUCUCACUUUUUCAAGUGGGAGAACUGAGACUCAUAGAGGUUAUGCUCUGCAAUAAAACAAGUUCAGAAAUAUGGUGGGAACCAAGGUCACUUGGCACUUAUUCCUGUUCCUGGUCUGCUGGAGUACUAUGUAAAGCCUCAACCCCUUUGCCUGGCAUAUGGGGUUAAUGUUACUUUCCUCUUUGCAGCUGCUUGUGCUGAAAUUCAUGCCAGGCAGUAGAAGAAGAUAUCCAUCUGUGGAACCCAUCUUCCAUGGAAGGUCAAUGAGUACUUUACUUGACUGCCAUGACUUCAAAUUUGAUGGAUAGAAUGCAUUGACAAAAGGGGCUUAAGAAAAGACGUUAUGAGAGUUGAAAACCGGAGUGUUCUGGAGUCUGAAGUUUUCAUGUCCUACAUAGUGUGAUGAGACAAAAGGCAUCCAACUACCAAUAUUUAUCCCACCAAUGGAUUAAUUUAUGCUGUGAAUAUCUGGGAAGAAAAAUCAGUGGAUUUGGCUGCUAAUUUCAUCUGAAUACUGUGGAUUUGGGAAAAGUCCAGGAAUGCUUCUUAAGCCUGCUUACAUAUGUAAAGAACCAUAAUCGAGAUUUGUCUUCUCAAGUCUGUCUCAAGUUUUAGGUUCUUCAGAUCUGGUAGUUUAGCAUACCUUUGUGGAAAUUCACUGAAGCUGUGAGAUUUAUAAUAUGCUGAUAAACUCCAUUUCUAUGGCUCUGAAUUUAUAGUCAAUAGAAGUAUAUAUUUUUGCUGGAACUUAUUGUAGCAGCACGUUAAAAACAAGAGGAUACAUAUUUAUGAGAAAAUUAAUAUUUUGAAUAUAUUUGAAAAAUGUUUUUCAAAAUAAAAAAUAUUUUUAAAAAUAAAAAAUGAAAAAUAUUUUUCAUUAACAUGAAAUAUUAACAUGAAAAAUAUUUUCAUUAACAUGAAAAAUAUUUUCGUGUUUACAUUUUUAUUUCCAAACGUUCUCUUGGCUUAGUUAUGAUAGGUUAGUCAAGCAAUGUCUUACACCUGUCAUGAAAUACUGAUGUUAACAUACUAUUUUUGUCUACACAAUCUUCCCCAAUUUCUUGUGUAUUUGGCCUAAUUUUCCACAAGUCUUUUCCAGUCUUCAAACAUCAAAAUUUUAACCAUGAUAUUUAAUGCAAUUCACUGUAUUUUUGCAUUUUGCUUUAUUCCUAUACUACCUUCAUUGUUCUAGUCCAACACAUGACAGAUAUGGUAUUUUCAU